GAUAAGUACAGCAAGGUAGUUGAUGAGCUUCAAAUGAUGAAGGACAAAUGUUCCAAACUGGAAACGGAAAACUCAGAAUUGAGGCGUCAACUGACAGAGCAUUGCUCGAAGUCCAAGGAAAAUUCAUCAAAGGACAAAGAAAUUGAAGCAUUCUGGAGAUUUGAAGACGGACGAGAGGAAUGGUUGCCGGCCAAAUUGAUCCGAAAAUAUGCUAACGGAGAGUGUUCAGUCCAGUACUCUGAUGGAGUUAGUAGAGUGAGGUCCUCAUGGGUGAGAGAGGUGGGACAGAUGUAAGGUCAUCCUAUUGCCACAUCUAGAAGCUAUACCUAUUUUCUCAAGACUAAAAAUGUCAUGAACUUAAAAUAAAUGUUGUUAUCAAUAUAUGCAACCAGAGUACAUAUUAAGGCACUUCAUGUUAUUUUUCUGAAUGAUUGAAGUCAGGUUUCUCAUACUAAGACAUUUCCCUGUCAAGUUAUGGAAUUAACUUAAAUUUUAUGGUGUGAAAUUUCUGUUUUAUAAAAAAAUGCAUAGAUAAUUUUUAUCAAAUUGUGAGACUGAUAGCUUCAUUUUUUUUUAUCAAAUCAUGCAAAUGAUUGCCCUUUUUUUGAAGUAAAAAAAAACAACAUGAAUUUUACAUCACACUGAUGAUCAUAUUUCAAGUGUAAGCAUUAUUCAAUAUCUUUUUCUUCAGUUUAAUGUUGGAAUUGAAUAUUCCCUAAUCAACAAUUUGAUUCUCUUUACUGCACUUUUGUUUAUGUGCAUUAUCCAAAGAAUGUUUGAAUUCCAUUUUGAAAUGCUUGAUGAGAACUUGUCUUUUCACUUAGGUAUAUGCUUUUUUCAUUAUUGGUUUUGUUCAGUGGUGGUGGUCAUAUUCUUCUUAUGUCAUUUCGGUCAGUAGAAUAUGGGACUUGUAUAUAACAGUUUAUAUGUUAGAAUGGUUUAUGAGAUUAUUUUAAAUAAAACUAUUUUUGAAUUUCUUUCGCUAUAUAAACAAAAGUUAAUUAAAGAGAUUUCACGUUUCUUACUGUUGCAAUCAAUUUAAUAUCUUAAAAUAACCUGAGAUCUUUUGGGAAACUAGACAGAAAAUAAGUUCUAAUGGUGAACAAUUCGUAUUCAGUCAGCCUUUGUAAGCCAUUGUAACUGUGAAUGUGUUCAUGUGCAUUAUUCUAACAUUUUUUCGAUUUCGGUUUAGAAAUGCUUUGUAUGAACUUGUCUUCAUUUUAAUAUGCUUAAUUAAAAUUGAUUUUGUUAAUUUGUGAUUACCAAUGUUUUAUUUUGUAUGUCCUAUAUGAUGUUUGAGUAUUUCAGAGAAACAAUAAAGUUCUGCCCUUACAAUACAUACUAAAAUUGUGACAGAAUUGUUUAGUAAUGAAAAUACAAAUUGCAGCAAUUGCACCUGUUAAAGAACUUUGAAUGGUUAUACAUGUAAUAGCGGUAAAGAUUGUUUUAUUUAAAUAUUUAAUUUUUCAUAAUGACUUCACAUGUUAAAAAAAAAUGUUUAGCAUUUUUUAAUACUAGUAUAUUUUGAGAACUAAUUUAAGUGUGACAUAAAUAAUAUGGAAUCAUUCCCACUAUUUAAUAUAUAUUUUCUGACCUGCUGACUGGUGGAUUGAGUACAUAUUAGUAUACUGGUAUUGUUUUUUAUUUUGAAAAUUUCACUGAUUGAAAAUUUACACAACAUUUUGUGUGUUCUGUAUUUACUAUGCCCCCCUUCGAAGAAGAGGGGGUAUAUUGCUUUGCACAUGUCGGUCUGUCGGUCGGUUUGUCCAUCAGGUGGUUUCCGGAUGAUAACUCAAGAACGCUUGGGCCUAUGAUCAUGAAACUUCAUAGGUACAUUGAUCAUGACUCGCAGAUGACCCCCAUUGAUUUUGAGGUCACUAGAUCAAAGGUCAAGAUCACGGUGACCUGAAAUAGUAAAAUGGUUUCCGUAUGGUAACUCAAGAACGCUUAGGCCUAGGAUCAUGAAACUUGAUAUGUAGAUUGAUCAUAACUCGCAGAUGACCCCUAUUAAUAUGCAGGUCACUAGGUCAUAGGUCAAGGUCACAGUGACCCGAAAUAGUAAAAUGGUUUCCGGAUGAUAACUCAAGAACGCUUAUGCCUAGGAACAUUGAAACUUCGUAGGUAGAUUGAUAAUGGCUGGCAGAUGACCCCUAUUGAUUUUCAGGUCACUAGGUCAAAGGUCAAGGUCACGGUGACCCGAAAUAGGAAAAUGGUUUCCGUAUGAUAACUCAAUAACGCUUAUGCCUAGGAUCAUGAAACUUGAUAGGUAGAUUGAUCAUGACUCGCAGUUGACCCUUAUUGAUUUUCAGGUCACUAUAUCAAAGGUCAAGGUCACGGGGACCUGAAAUAGUAAAAUGGUUUCCGGAUGAUAACUCAAGAACGCUAAUGGCUACGAUCAUGAAACUUCAUAGGUACAUUGAUCAUGACUUGCAGAUGACCCCUAUUGAUUUUGAGGUCAAAGGUCAAGGUCAUGGUGACACGAAAUAGUAAAAUGGUUUCCGGAUGAUAACUCAAGAAGGCUUAUGCCUAGGAUCAUGAAACUUCAUAGGUGCACUGAUCAUGACUCGCAGAUGACCCCGUUCGAUUUUGUGGUCACUUGGUCAAAGGUCAAGUUCACGGUGACCCGAAAUAGUAAAAUGUUUUUUGGAUGAUAACUGAAGAACGCUUAUUCCUAGGAACAUGAAACUUGAUAGGUAGAUUGAUCAUGACUCGCAGAUGACCCCUACUGAUUCUCAGGCCACUAGGUCAAAGGUCAAUUUCACGGUGACCCGAAAUAGUAAAAUGGUGUCCGGAUGAUAAAUCAAGAACGCUUAUGGCUAGGAUCAUGAAACUUCAUAAGUACAUUGAUCAUGACUUGCAAAUGACCCCUAUUGAUUUUCAGGUCACUAGGUCAAAGGUCAAGGUCACAGUUACAAAAAACAUAUUCACACAAUGGCUGUCACUACAACGGAGAGCCCAUAUGGGGGGCAUGCAUGUUUUACAAACAGCCCUUGUUAUGACUUGUUUUAUAAUUUGCUAAUAAUUUAAGAACUUAUACAUUUAAAAGUGGUUUACCUUCCUUUUUUUCAGUGUGAUUUUUUCUGUGUGAUUAUGCAUUUCUGGAAGUUUGUACCGCCGGCGUAACAUUUUUAAACAAUUAUCUGUCAUUGUGUUUAUGAUCCUCUGAGAGUUUGUACCGCCAGCGUAACAUUUUCAAAGAAUUAUCUGUUGUGAUUAUGAACCUUUGGGAGGUUGUACCGCCAGCGUAACAUUUUCAGUUAAAUUUUAAGGGUUAUAUCAUUUUGUGUGUUCUGUAUUUACAUUACUUGUAUAAUUUACUAUUAAAUUAAGAACUUAAACAUUUAAAAGUGGUUUGUGCGAUUUUUACUAUUGGUACCUUAGGGAGUUUGUACCGCCGGCGUAACAUUUUCAAGAAUUAUCUGUUGUUAUUAUGAUCCUCUGAGAGUUUGUACCGCCAGCGUAACAUUUUCAAAGAAUUAUCUGUUGUGAUUAUGAACCUAAGAACUUAAACAUUUAAAAGUGGUUUAUCUUCCUUUUUUUCAGUGUGAUUUUUUCUGUGUGAUUAUGCAUUUUUGGAAGUUUGUACCGCCGGCGUAACAUUUUUAAACAAUUAUCUGUCAUUGUGUACUUUUUGAGAGUUUGUACCGCCAGCGUAACAUUUUCAAAGAAUUAUCUGUUGUGAUUAUGAACAUUUUGAGAGUUAGUACCGCCAGCGUAACAUUUUCAAAGAAUUAUCUGUUGUGAUUAUGAACAUUUAUGAGGUUGUACCGCCAGCGUAACAUUUUCAGUUACAUUUUAAGGGUUAUAUCAUUGUGUGUGUUCUGUACUUACAUUACUUGUAUAAUUUACUAUUAAAUUAAGAACUUAAACAUUUAAAA